UUAGUUUUCUUUAAAAGGGCAUGUUUAAUUGGGAAAUAGGAAGUUUCAGUAAGGUAUUAGAAGUAUGUGUUUGACUAUAUGUAGAUAUUCACAGAAAAAAGUUAAAAACUGAGACACUUAGAUAAUUCUUUGUCAAAGCCUCCCUUUCACCUUGCCUGGAUACUACGUAAAAAAAAAAAAAAAUAAGAAGAAGAACUUAAAUUAUGAUUAUCUAAAUUUGUCCUUUAAUUUCUCAGUGCAGAAACAGCAUAUAUAUUCCAUCAUCUGAAAGCUCACAUAAAUUGAUAAAAUAAGCAUCCUGGAUAUAUUUUGCCAAAAGUAAGAGGGCUCUAUCUUAGUGUCUUUCACAAUUAUGUACUAAGGGGUAUUUUAAAUUUUAUAGUAUUUUAGUUUAAAAUCAAAUAAUUGUUAAUAAUUAUUUAGGGUUAUAAUUGCAACAGCUACACUAACUAUGGGGGUGAAAAGUAGCAAGAUUUAAUUCUGGUUAAAUUAAGCAUUGUAACAAGCUAUAUCCUUGUAGUCAAAAUUAAGGCAAUAACCACACACGUUACAAAUUUAAAAGAAGAAAAAUAUUAUUUAUUCUGCUGCUCCCUGCUAAUAUCAUGCAAGACAACUUAUGAAAAAAACCCAUAAUACUUGCUGUGUAUCUACCACCUAAGUACUCUAUUUUAAAAUCACAGCUGUCUUCAUUUAAAUGCUGUGACAUAUAGUUGGAGAUAUCAUAGAAGGCCUUACAAUGGGAUUCGGGCACAAUACUCUCAAGAUUAUUUGAAACUUCAGGAAAUUAGUGUAUUGGAUAACUCAGGUUUCAAAUAAAAUUUCUAGUUUUUACCAGCCUUCCUCAGUGUGCAAUUCAAUUUGUUGUUUUAGGAGAUUGCAAAUUUUGGGGUCAGGCCAAGUAAACUAGUGUGCCAUUAAGAAAAAUAUGAUUCUCUUCCCAUAAGGAUAGCACCAUAUACACAGGUGAGCAAACAGCUAAAAGCAGCUAUCCUUGGAAGAAAAGGGUAGUGACACCAAUUACUUCUGCAAGCACUUGCUUCCUUCUCUGAGUUCCCAUCCUAUCGUAUCCUAUCGUAUCCUAUCCUAUUCUAUCCUAUCCUAUCCUAUCCUCCUACUCAGAGCCAACUGAUCCCCUCCCACAGACUAGGCUCUAUUCUCCAGGCCCUAUGAUCAAUUUGAUCCUCCAUCAGAUGCAUUUCAAGACUCAGUAACACACUUUGGGUCAGCUUAACUCUGGCCUGACUUUGGUUCUUUGCUGAGUUCUGACUCAGACCCCCAUCUUUCAGUUCUGUCCUGAUCAGUGAUUCCUGCCUCGUUCUUCUGCACCUGAUCAUCUGCUUCAAAACCUGGAAGGUCUGGAAGCCAGUCUUUCUGAGGCUGGGAUACAAUACUGUCCUUGUACUUAAGAGAGAGGCUCCCACAUAUUUAAAGAGUAAUACAGACAUGCACAGGUACACGCACACAUGUGCUAACACAUAAAAUUCUUUUGUUUUGUUUUGUUUUGUUUUGUUUUUUGGUAUAUUUCUCCAUCCCACCAAAUCAAAUACUCUGAAUCUCAUUGGUGCCAUAAAAUGUUCCAUUUAUGGGACUUGGCAUAUAUGGUCCCUCUCAGAAUCACUGCAACAUCUUUGCUUCAGGUAGAAGAGGUACAGUGUGAAAUAGGCAUGUAGUCACCACUCACUUUCAGAAGUGUGGUUUACUCUGCAUUCCCUUAUCGGCCUUUCCCAGUAUGGGACACUAGUGGAUACUCCUAGUUGGAGUAUACAUAGCUCUCUUUUCAAGCCUUUGCUUUAUUAAAUGUAUUUAGGAUGAAGCCAUAUACUAAAAGGCAAAAUGGAUCUGGGGACCUAGACCAGUAGUUACCAUUCCCAUUGAGAAGAGUCCAGAAACACACUUGUGACACUGGUAUAUAUUUGGGAGAAAUGGUUAUUCUGCAUGCACUACCAUAUGGUUGGGCCAUACUGAUUUAUUUUGUAACAGAGCAGGAAAACUGCUCAGAGUUGCUCUGUUGAUGUACAAAGUAUACCACCUGCUUUGCUGCUCUCUGUUAAAUAUCUAAGAACUUUUGAAAAAAAAUUGGAGCUAGCUUGAACCAACUCAUUUUAAAAUAGGUCAUUUUAAGAAAAGCAGGGAAGCAGGGUGACUGGGUGGCUCAGUGGUUGAGUGUCUGCCUUUGGCUCAGGUCAUGAUCCCAGGGUCCUGAGAUCGAGUAUCCCAUUGGACACCCCGUGGGGAUCAUGCUUCUCCCUCUGCCUAUGGCUCUGCCUCUCUCUGUCUCCCAUGAAUAAAUACAUAAAUAAAAUCUUUAAAAAGAAAAGAAAAGCGUGGGAGUAUUGUGCCCUCUCAAGGGCUGAAAGCAACACAUGUGGGGAAUUUUUAUACCAAGUUGAUAACAUAACUGAACCCCUUGAAGAGACCAAUUGAGAACUUAACUUUUCUGUCAACUCCCGCCUAGAAGAUUUAUCUCAUCUCAUGGAUUAAUCACAAGCUCCAGAAUCACUACCUAACUGCCUCCCCUGUAACUCUGCAUGGACAUUGACCAAGCAUCUCACAAUGGACAUGUCCAAAAUGGAGAUGAUGCUCCCCCUUCCUCAAUCUGUUGGUCCUAAAACCUUUCCUUUCUCACUAAAUAACACCUCCAUUCUUCCAGGUAUGCUGGUACAAAUCUUGAUUUCUUUCUUUCACAUUCAGUUUAUUAGCAGAGCCUCUCAACUCUUCCUUUUAAAUAUCCAGAGUGUGAUCCCUACUCACCAUCUCUACCAUGACAACACUGCCCCAGGCAGCAUCAUGUCUUACCUGGACUAAAACAGCCUCCUACCUAUGGCUUUCCUGCUUGUACUUUUGCUCCUACAUGUAUCCUACAGAGAAUAGGCAGAAGAAGCUUUUAAAAUGGUAGGUUGGGUCAUGCUAUUCCCCUGCUUAAACCUUUGCAAUGGUUUCUCAAUCCAUAAUAGCAUAAAAUCUAAACUCCCCACCAAGGCUUAUAUGAGGCUAGCUGGUCCUUCCUCUGCCCCUCACUUACUUCUUCCUGCUGACACCUCCUAUCACUCUCCACUUACCCAUUCUUUUCCAGCCAUGAAGGCAUCCAUGCUGCUACACCCUUAAACGCACUGCUAUUCCCAGGACUUUACCAUGAGUGCCUCGAACAAUUUCCCCUGACAUCUGCAAGUCUUAUGCCAUCACUUACUUCCUGUAGGUCUCAGCUGAGUCUAAGCUUAAGGAAACCUUUUCUAUAUAAAAGCAUGUCACACCCAUACCACUCCUUAUUGCUUUAUCCUGCUUUAUUUUUCCCAAUAGCAUGUAAUUUAUUUAUUUAUUGCCUGUCCUCUCUCAGAGGAUGUAAAUGCCUUGAGGGUAGGGGCUCAGUAUUCUCAGCAUCAAACGGUGCCUGAUACAGAGCAGACACCAUGUAUUUGUUGGUUGAAUAAAUGAAUGAAUAAUGUACUCUUUUGUUCCUAGUCUCCCUUGUAAUGGAAGUCUGCAUGUUUGUACAUCCUUGUGCAUCAUCUGGAACACAUCAGACCUUGAUCCAGGCAUUCACAAUGUCCCAAGGAUGGGAAAUCUGGAGUUAAUCAUCCUUUGCAAAUUGGCACUGCCCUAUGGGCAUUUUAUCAUCCUUACCCCAAAACUGUUGGAAAAUCCAGAUUGAGUGAUGACAAUGUUCUCCUAAGGAGCCAUUUGCUGUUCAUAAAACUCUAAAAAAUAGCAUCUAUGGAACAAAGAGGCUGAUGCAAUGUUAGAGAUACAUUAUCCUGAACAGCUUAAGAUGGCUUCCAGGAAUAGGAUGUACCACAUAAUGGCAUAAUCACCUAACCAUUUCUCAUUAAAAGGAGCUUGAGAGAGCAUGGGCGCCACACAUUCAUUUCUAAAGCUCUUUCGUGAAGUUGUUCUUAUAGACUCACUGUGGAUGUGAAGGAGAAAUACAAGAUUCUAAAUGAGAAUUUCUAAUAACCUAGAAAAUCCUUAAAAUAUCUCAUCCCUUCUUAAUGAGGAAUUAGAAAAGAAGGGAGUGGAAAACAGAGGGAAGAGAUUACUGCAGAGAACACAGCAAGUAAAUUUUAGACAAAUCUUACUCUUUCAAAAUGAAUGGACUAAAUGAUUAGAGCAAAUAUCCUAUUUUUUGCGCAUUAUCUACAUAAAGUGCUUGGCUCAGAGAAGGCACUGGGUAUUUAGUAGUUAUUAUUUUAUUCUCUGUGACAUUGGUUAAGAUCACAGACAUGGAUGUCAGAUCCGCAAGCAUUAAUUCUUAGCUAUUCUAUUAUUCUUAGCUAUUUACUCCCUGUGGAAUUGGACCAGCUACUUAGUACCUCAGAACUUCCAUUCUCUUAUCUCGAAAGUAGAAAUAAUAACACCCUUCAUAAUGCAAGGACUAAAUAAAAUAUGCAAAUAAGGGAAUGCAUAUAGUGCAGCAUCUAACUUAUAAGUAACAAUGACAUUUUUAAUAUGAACAAUAGAUAAA
rnacentral:lncRNA from 1 species